rnacentral:rRNA from 1 species
GAUGAACGCUGGCGGCGUGCCUAAUACAUGCAAGUCGAGCGAACAGACGAGGAGCUUGCUCCUCUGACGUUAGCGGCGGACGGGUGAGUAACACGUGGAUAACCUACCUAUAAGACUGGGAUAACUUCGGGAAACCGGAGCUAAUACCGGAUAAUAUAUUGAACCGCAUGGUUCAAUAGUGAAAGACGGUUUUGCUGUCACUUAUAGAUGGAUCCGCGCCGCAUUAGCUAGUUGGUAAGGUAACGGCUUACCAAGGCAACGAUGCGUAGCCGACCUGAGAGGGUGAUCGGCCACACUGGAACUGAGACAUGGUCCAGACUCCUACGGGAGGCAGCAGUAGGGAAUCUUCCGCAAAGGGCGAAAGCCUGACGGAGCAACGCCGCGUGAGUGAUGAAGGUCUUCGGAUCGUAAAACUCUGUUAUUAGGGAAGAACAAAUGUGUAAGUAACUAUGCACGUCUUGACGGUACCUAAUCAGAAAGCCACGGCUAACUACGUG